GACGAACGCUGGCGGCGUGCUUAACACAUGCAAGUCGAACGGAAAGGCCCUGCUUUUGUGGGGUGCUCGAGUGGCGAACGGGUGAGUAACACGUGAGUAACCUGCCCUUGACUUUGGGAUAACUUCAGGAAACUGGGGCUAAUACCGGAUAGGAGCUCCUGCUGCAUGGUGGGGGUUGGAAAGUUUCGGCGGUCGGGGAUGGACUCGCGGCUUAUCAGCUUGUUGGUGGGGGAGUGGCUUACCAAGGCUUUGACGGGUAGCCGGCCUGAGAGGGUGACCGGCCACAUUGGGACUGAGAUACGGCCCAGACGCCUACGGGAGGCAGCAGUGGGGAAUAUUGCACAAUGGGCGGAAGCCUGAUGCAGCAACGCCGCGUGCGGGAUGACGGCCUUCGGGUUGUAAACCGCUUUCGCCUGUGACGAAGCGUGAGUGACGGUAAUGGGUAAAGAAGCACCGGCUAACUACGUG
rnacentral:rRNA from 1 species